UACGUAGGGUGCGAGCGUUAAUCGGAAUUACUGGGCGUAAAGCGUGCGCAGGCGGUUUUGUAAGCCAGAUGUGAAAUCCCCGGGCUUAACCUGGGAAUGGCAUUUGGGACUGCAAGGCUCGAGUGCGGCAGAGGAGACUGGAAUUCCUGGUGUAGCAGUGAAAUGCGUAGAUAUCAGGAGGAACACCGAAUGGCGAAGGCAGGUCUCUGGGCUGACACUGACGCUCAUGCACGAAAGCGUGGGGAGCAACAGGAU
rnacentral:rRNA from 1 species